CCACCACAACCGCUCACAACCACCUAUAAUGAGAUCUGACACCUUCUUUUGGACCCACAUGAUGAAGGAGAGAAGCGGCCCCAGCAAGUUGUCUUCCGAUUGCUACGCACAAGCCAUGGUGCCCAAGUCUACAAGUGCACACACAGUAAAUACAUAAAUAAACAAAUGCAAUUUUAAAAACA